AUGUUCUUGAGAAAGACAACUUGGUGUGCAGUUGGGAAAUAAAGGAGUUUGGAAGACAACCACAAAUGGAGAAGAAAAUGUAUAUUCUUUCAAUGUAGCAUAUCAGAAUGGUGAAAAUAUUUGAAAGGCUAGUUUUGGAUAGAGAAGUUGUUGUAACUUAAUGCUCAGGCUUUGGUGUAGGUGGAACCAGCUACCCUUUGAUGAAACAUCAAUGACAAGAUUAUUUUUGAUGAAAUGCCGAGCACUCGGUCAAAAAAUUGAGUGUAAAUUAGUAUAACCAUUGUGGAAAGUGGUGUGGCAAUUCCUCAAAGAGCUAAAAAACAGAACUUCCAUUCAACCCAGCAAUCUGAUUACUGAGUAUAUACCCAAAGAAAUAUAAAUCACUCUAUCAUAAAGAGAUAUGCACGCAUAUGUUCAUGGAAGCACUACUCACAAUAGCAAAAACAUGGAAUCAACCUAAAUGCCCAUCACUGGUGGACUAGAUAAAUCCCGAUCUAUCGUACACCACGGAAUGCUAUGAAACCAUAAAAAGAAUAACAUCAUGUUUUUUGUAAGAACAUGGAUGGAGCUGGAAACCAUUAUCCUUAGCAAACUAAUGCAGGAACAGAAAACCAAAUAAUGCAUCUUCUCUGAAGUGGUAGCUAAAUGAUGAGAACAACAUGGACACACGGAGGGGAACAACAGACACUGGGC
rnacentral:lncRNA from 10 species